rnacentral:misc_RNA from 1 species
AACGCACAUUGCACCCGGUGGUAUUCCGCCGGGUAUGCCUGUCUGAGCGUCAUUUCAACCCUCAAGCCCGGCUUGGUGUUGGCGGAUCGCCCGCUGCGGCGACCGCUGAAAUUGAACGGCGGUAGUACCCGUAGCCCCUGUAGAGUAGACAUUCUUACAGAGGGUCUACGGGCCCCACCAGCCUCGUCCCCCACCGAAAUGAAAAGUUGACCUCAGAUCAGGUAGGAAUACCCGCUGAACUUAA